rnacentral:rRNA from 1 species
AGCGGACAGAUGGGAGCUUGCUCCCUGAUGUUAGCGGCGGACGGGUGAGUAACACGUGGGUAACCUGCCUGUAAGACUGGGAUAACUCCGGGAAACCGGGGCUAAUACCGGAUGCUUGAUUGAACCGCAUGGUUCAAUUAUAAAAGGUGGCUUUUAGCUACCACUUACAGAUGGACCCGCGGCGCAUUAGCUAGUUGGUGAGGUAACGGCUCACCAAGGCAACGAUGCGUAGCCGACCUGAGAGGGUGAUCGGCCACACUGGGACUGAGACACGGCCCAGACUCCUACGGGAGGCAGCAGUAGGGAAUCUUCCGCAAUGGACGAAAGUCUGACGGAGCAACGCCGCGUGAGUGAUGAAGGUUUUCGGAUCGUAAAACUCUGUUGUUAGGGAAGAACAAGUACCGUUCGAAUAGGGCGGUACCUUGACGGUACCUAACCAGAAAGCCACGGCUAACUACGUGCCAGCAGCCGCGGUAAUACGUAGGUGGCAAGCGUUGUCCGGAAUUAUUGGGCGUAAAGCGCGCGCAGGCGGUUUCUUAAGUCUGAUGUGAAAGCCCCCGGCUCAACCGGGGAGGGUCAUUGGAAACUGGGGAACUUGAGUGCAGAAGAGGAGAGUGGAAUUCCACGUGUAGCGGUGAAAUGCGUAGAGAUGUGGAGGAACACCAGUGGCGAAGGCGACUCUCUGGUCUGUAACUGACGCUGAGGCGCGAAAGCGUGGGGAGCGAACAGGAUUAGAUACCCUG